CCCCCCCACUCAAGCUCUUUUGCUUGGAAUCUUAGAAAAGCAGUCUAUCUGCCUUCUAUAAAUUCAUAGGCAGUAUGGUUUCUUCCAGACUCGACGUCAUAAUUCAAAAAAGCGUCUUAUUUGGAGUUAUCGUAUUCGCCUUUAACCCACCCUUUUUUUUUUACUU
rnacentral:misc_RNA from 1 species